GCAGCAGCAGCAGCCGGAGCAGGAGGAGUUUGUUCAUGUCUGCAGUGUAUUGUGGAACAUAUUCUGGGAUGCAACACGGCAAGUGAGCACACGCAUCUCUUGAUAAUCGAAGGGUACUUUAGACGUCGCUUCUGAUAUCUCGCCUGGACCUUCCUCCAUUCUAGCAGGACAGAACAGCGGCAGACGAGGGGCGGCUGACUAUUUUUUGUAAAUAACAGCUGAUGGAUGACUUCUAAGGAAGUCUCAAGGUUUUGCUCGUCUGAGGACAUCUCCCUCAACUUGAUCAAGACAAAGGAGAUGAUUUUGGACUACAGGAAAAAGAGGACAGAGCACGCCCCCAUUCACAUCGAUGAAGCUGCAGUGGAGCAGAUUGAGAGCUUCAAGUUCCUUGGUGUCCACAUCACCAACAAACUAUCAUGGUCCGAGCACACCAAGACAGUCGUGAAGAGGGCACGACAAAACCUAUUCCCCCUCAGGAGAUUGAAAAGAUUUGUCACGAGUCCUCAGAUCCUCAAAAGGUUCUUACAGCUGCACCAUCGAGAGUAUCCUGACUGGUUGCAUCACUGCCUGGUAUGGCAACAUUUUGGCCUCCGACCGCAAGGCACUACAGAAGGUAGUGCGUACGGCCCAGUACAUCACUGGGGCUAAGCUUUCUGCCGUCCAGGACCUCUACAUCAGGAGAUGUCAAAGGAAGGCUCUAAAAAUUGUCAGACUCCAGCCAUCCUAGACACAGACUGUUCUCUCUGCUACCCCACGGCGGUACCUGAGCGCCAAGUCUAGGUCCAAGAUGCUUCUAAACAGUUUCUAACCCCAAGCCAUAAGACUCCUGAACAUCUAAUCAAAUGGCUACCCAGACUAUUUGCAUUACCCCCCCCCUUUUACAUGGCUGCUACUCUGUUGUUAUUAUCUAUGCGUCGUCACUUUAAUAACUCUACCUACAUGUACAUAUUACCUCAACUAACCGGUGCCCCCGCACAUUGACUCUACCGGUACCCCCCUGUGUAUAGUCUCACUAUUGUUAUUUUACUGCUGUUCUUUAAUUACUUGUUACCUUUAUUUCUUAUUUUUACUUGUGUAUAUAUAUAUUUAAACUGCAUUGUUG
ensembl:lncRNA